rnacentral:rRNA from 1 species
GAUGAACGCUGGCGGCGUGCCUAAUACAUGCAAGUCGAGCGAACAGAUGAGGCGCUUGCUCGUCUGACGUUAGAGGCGGACGGGUGAGUAACACGUGGAUAACCUACCUAUCAGACUGGGAUAACUUCGGGAAACCGGAGCUAAUACCGGAUAAUAUAUUGAUCUUCAUGGUUCAAUAGUGAUAGAUGGUUUUGCUGUCACUUAUAGAUAGAACGUCGCCGAAUUAGCUAGUGGGUAAGAUAAGGGCUUACCACGGCAACGAUGCGUAGCAGACCUCAGAGGGUGAUCGGCAACACUGGAACUGAGACACGGUCCAGACUCCUACGGGAGGAGCCGGUAGGGAAUCUUCGGAAAUGGGCGAAAGCCUGCCGGAGCAACGCGGCGUGGGUGAUGAGGGUCUUGGGAUCGUAAAACUCUGUUAUUGGGAAGGAACAAAUGUGUAAUUAAAUAUGCACGUCUUGACGGUACCUAAUCAGAAAGCCACGGCUAACUACGUG